AGCGAACGCUGGCGGCGUGCUUAACACAUGCAAGUCGAACGGAUCCGGGGGGGAACCCUCGGGUUAGUGGCGAACGGGUGAGUAACACGUGGGUAAUCUCCCCCCGAGUGAGGGAUAAUCUUGCGAAAGCGGGUCUAAUACCGCAUGACGCUUCGGGACGUAAGUCUUCGAAGUUAAAGCCGUAAGGCGCUUGGGGAUGAGCCUGCGUCCUAUUAGCUAGUUGGUAGGGUAAUGGCCUACCAAGGCGAUGAUGGGUAGCCGGCCUGAGAGGGUGAUCGGCCACACUGGAACGGAGACACGGUCCAGACUCCUACGGGAGGCAGCAGUGAGGAAUGUUGCGCAAUGGGCGAAAGCCUGACGCAGCGACGCCGCGUGGAGGAAGACGGCAUUCGGGUUGUAAACUCCUGUCAGAGGUGAAGAAUGCCUGCAAGGGCUUGACGGUAACCUCAGAGGAAGCCCCGGCUAACUACGUGCCAGCCGCCGCGGUAACAC
rnacentral:rRNA from 1 species